rnacentral:rRNA from 1 species
UGGGGAAUAUCGGACAAUGGGCGAAAGCCUGAUCCAGCCAUGCCGCGUGUGUGAAGAAGGUCUUCGGAUUGUAAAGCACUUUAAGUUGGGAGGAAGGGCAUUAACCUAAUACGUUGGUGUCUUGACGUUACCGACAGAAUAAGCACCGGCUAACUACGUGCCAGCAGCCGCGGUAAUACGUAGGGUGCGAGCGUUAAUCGGAAUUACUGGGCGUAAAGCGCGCGUAGGUGGUUAGUUAAGUAGGAUGUGAAAUCCCCGGGCUCAACCCGGGAACUGCAUUCAAAACUGACUGACUAGAGUAUGGUAGAGGGUGGUGGAAUUUCCUGUGUAGCGGUGAAAUGCGUAGAUAUAGGAAGGAACACCAGUGGCGAAGGCGACCACCUGGACUGAUACUGACACUGAGGUGCGAAAGCGUGGGGAGCAAACA